GACGAACGCCGGCGGCGUGCUUAACACAUGCAAGUCGAACGGAAAGGCCCUGCUUUUGUGGGGUGCUCGAGUGGCGAACGGGUGAGUAACACGUGAGUAACCUGCCCUUGACUUUGGGAUAACUUCAGGAAACUGGGGCUAAUACCGGAUAGGAGCUCCUGCUGCAUGGUGGGGGUUGGAAAGUUUCGGCGGUUGGGGAUGGACUCGCGGCCUAUCAGCUUGUUGGUGGGGUAGUGGCUUACCAAGGCUUUGACGGGUAGCCGGCCUGAGAGGGUGACCGGCCACAUUGGGACUGAGAUACGGACCAGACUCCUACGGGAGGCAGCAGUGGGGAAUAUUGCACAAUGGGCGGAAGCCUGAUGCAGCAACGCCGCGUGCGGGAUGACGGCCUUCGGGUUGUAAACCGCUUUCGCCUGUGACGAAGCGUGAGUGACGGUAAUGGGUAAAGAAGCACCGGCUAACUACGUG
rnacentral:rRNA from 1 species